GUGGGGAAUCUUGCGCAAUGGGCGAAAGCCUGACGCAGCCAUGCCGCGUGAAUGAUGAAGGUCUUAGGAUUGUCAAAUUCUUUCACCGGGGACGAUAAUGACGGUACCCGGAGAAGAAGCCCCGGCUAACUUCGUGCCAGCAGCCGCGGUAAUACGAAGGGGGCUAGCGUUGCUCGGAAUUACUGGGCGUAAAGGGCGCGUAGGCGGACAGUUUAGUCAGAGGUGAAAGCCCAGGGCUCAACCUUGGAAUUGCCUUUGAUACUGGCUGUCUUGAGUACGAGAGAGGUGAGUGGAACUCCGAGUGUAGAGGUGAAAUUCGUAGAUAUUCGGAAGAACACCAGUGGCGAAGGCGACUCACUGGCCCGUUACUGACGCUGAGGCGCGAAAGCGUGGGGAGCAAACAGGAUUAGAAACCCGGGUAGUCC
rnacentral:rRNA from 1 species